rfam:Apaloderma vittatum contig91770, whole genome shotgun sequence.
GGCUGGUUAGCUCAGUCAGUUGAGUGUGGCGCUAACAAUGCCAAGGAUGUGGGUUCGAUUCCCAUGUGGUCCG